GUUUCCACACAGUCCCACAAAUGCAAGAGAUAGAAUUUAUAACUUGCUAUCCUCUUGCCUAAUAGGCAAAGAUUGGCCUCUGUAGGAAGACAGAUUCAUUCAGAUCGAUAUGAGGACCCAACUCUAUUGCAUUGCCAAAAUCCAUGUUCCAUAACAAUUACAUGCUUUUUUUCCCGUGUCGAAUCUAGGUAG
rnacentral:rRNA from 1 species